AUAAUUUCUGAAGGGGGUGAAAAGAUUCAAAUAAUCGGUUAAGUGUGUGGUGGUCAUCUUAGCUUCUACAUUAUCCAACAAUAAUUGUGUAAGUAGUAUGUCUAAGAUAGCAGCCCUCACAAUCUAAUGUCUAUUGAAUCUUUUCUUCCCAUUUCAAAAGUUGUA
rnacentral:pre_miRNA from 1 species